GUAAGCGCGGCCAUCCUCCGUUCGCGGCGGCGUCUCCGGGUCUUCGCCUCGGACCCGCCGUCCCCGACGGGGCCCGAGUUCGGGCCGCUCGCUUUCCUGGGGCUGGGACUGAGUUGCUGCUCUCGCGCCCCAGGAAAAGGUGGCCGCGCCUCACCCGAAGGGCAGCGGCCCAUCUUACAGGUACGGGCCGUUUUUGAAAUGAGUACUCUCUGAACUCUUUGAUCCCGUAUGUUUGGAUCAGGUUCCUGCGCUUUUUUUUAAAGUCAAUUCAUGACUUGGUCUUGAGGAACUUGGGGUCUGGAAGAAAAGAAGCCGAAAAUAGCCGAAGGGAUCAAUAUGUAUCACUUCCGGUCACUUCACCUGUGUCCCUGAAGACUCCCUGAAAAGCAGGCCACCCCAGCACCUCCCUUGCCCGGUUGGACCAGCUCUGCCACACUCUGCGCAAGGCCUCCCCUGAGCACGAGAAUGUACACGACCAUCCUUGUUCCCCUCAUCUGGCUCCCAUCACUGCCGUGAGGUCAGCUGUCACCUGUGGUUCUGAGCCCAGCCUGUACCUGUGGGACCCAGGCCCACUUCCUGAUUCC
rnacentral:lncRNA from 1 species